UACGUAGGGGCCGAGCGUUGUCCGGAGUUAUUGGGCGUAAAGCGCGCGCAGGCGGCCUCGCGCGCCCGACGUGGAAGCCCCGGGCUUAACCGGGGAGGGUCGUUGGGGACGGCGGGGCUUGAGGGCGGGAGAGGGCGGUGGAAUUCCCGGUGUAGUGGUGAAAUGCGUAGAGAUCGGGAGGAACACCUGUGGCGAAGGCGGCCGUCUGGGCCGACCCUGACGCUGAGGCGCGAAGGCGUGGGGAGCGAACGGG
rnacentral:rRNA from 1 species